UGACUUUUUACGAUGAAGCUGCAUUUUGGACAUAUAAGUGGAGAUGUUAAGUACGUAGUUGGUAGUAUGAGUCUAGAGUUCAGGCGAGAGAUUCUAGCUGAAGAUAAAAAUUUGGGAGCAUAUGGAUGGUAUUUAAAACCAUAAGACAAUGAGGUCAUCAAGGGAGUGAGUGUAGAUAGAAGGGGUCAAGUUCCAAGGCCUGGAGCUCCCUAACACUGACAGAUCAAGGAGAAGAAGAGGAAUCGGGGAAGGUGACAGCCAUCAGGUGUUCUGAUGGUACCUUCUAUCAUGGCAAAAAGGCGGAGGGCAUAGGCCCUAUGGGUGGAAGGUUUAAGGCACCAACUCCCCAGCCAUUGGUUUAAAUGAUCCAGUGGUGGGGUGGUGGAGACCAGGGAGGUGGGUUUGAAACAGUUUCUGACCACACCCAUAGAGCCUUCAGUGUGCUACCUGCUUUACCUAGUUCACCCUCUUCUCAGCCACGUGGCCUUCUUGGGGUUCCUGGUUCAGUGUGAGUUUUGGACAAAUCUCCCAGCUUGGGGCAGUUCAGCUCAUCUUGGCACCACACUCUCCCAAGGAGCCCGCUCAGCCUUCAUGCUCCCUGGUCUGAUCAAAUCCAUGCCGCAGGGGUGGGAGAUCUUGGGUGGAGGGCACUUUAGCCAUCGAGGCAGGUAAGGCAGCAGCGAGGCCAGGAAAGUCAACCAAGGCCAUGGUAGGAGUGGGAGUACCAGGGAGUAAACGGUUGUGGAGAGCAUCUCGAUUAGAUGCUUAAUAAAUGUUUGUUGAAUGGAUGAAUGUGAGUAUCAGGAGCUGUGUCCCUGGGGCUGAGCGUGACUGGUGUGCCCGUCAUCCGCGUGUGUGUGUGUGUGAGAGAGCGAGAGCUAUGGCUCUGUGUCCACGUCUGUGCCUGAUGUGUCUCCCCUCCCAGGCCUGCAGAGGGCGCACCAGCCUGGGAAGGGAGGCUCGAGUGGGCGCCGCUCUGUCUGAGGGGUGGGUGGGCGCUGGCGGGUGGGGGGUGCUCUAGCAAGGGCGGGAUGCGGCCCUGACCCGGCGGGCUGCUCAGAGAGACUGAGAAGGGCGUUGGGCCCAAAGUCCGUGGGCCUGGCACGGCCUCUGGUGCUGUACCCGCUCCAGGCCCCAGCUGGUCCCGAGGCCGAAGGUCCGGCCCCGGGUCCCAGCGCGCGGGUCCCGGCACACGGGCGGAACGUGCAGAAGGGAGACUCGGGUUGCGGGUGGGACCCGCAGCUCCAGGACCCGGGGUCGGCGUGGGCUCGGGAAGCGCCCGGGCGGCGAUUACCCAGGGCUGAGCACAGCGGCUGUCCCGCCAAAUCUCUGCCACUCGGGCCCCUGAAUCCGCGGGUACUCGGCUGGGCAGGCUGGGACGCAUGGGCGGCCGGAGGCCGGUGUUUUUCCGUUGAAACCAUAGGCUUUCAAGGUUUAUUGAAAGCCUAACUGUGUGCCCGGCGCGACGCUCGCUCGGUGCCGGAGGAUGAAGUGCUUUCACCUGGACAGGGACGGAAAACGAGUUUGUCCUGCUCAUCAGUGGACAUGGGAAAAUUCUAGACCCCUGGUCUAGCAUGAGACACAUUUGAGGACAAAUAAUAAAGGGGGGGAAAAAAAUCCCAGAAAGAUGAAGGAAAUGAGAACAGUAGUGAUCAACCCACAAGCCUGUUUGCCUUUGGAGGACGGAGGACCGCGACGACGAUGCUGCCUCCUAGUGGCGGAGUCGGGCAAUGAGGCCAAGUGGAGUUUAACAUCCCGUCCGCUGUGGGUAUGCUGAACCGAAACGGCUGCUCAGGCCAGCCUGGAUGUAGACGGUAAGGAAGGGGACGCAGAGACUCGGAUGGCCACACAUCUGACCUGUGAGUAUCCCCCUAAGUGUUCCAGUCUGUUGGGUGAAGGCUUUGGCUUGGUGUGAACUCUCGAGAGAGCCCAGGUAGUGUUUGACAGUACCUGCGGUGGCCGAGGUACAGAGGACCGCUACACCGGAGGCCCUGGUGCCGAGGGUGAGAGGUGAGGGAGGUGCACGUGGCUCACUUCAGCUUUACCUCUGCGGAUGAGCGCAGAGUGAACGCACCCUAACGCCAGGUUGAGACCCUGGAGCCGGGGAGAGGGGUGUGCUCACCCACCCCUACUCACCCCCAGUGUCGGCAGACCCACUACCUCUUUAGGACGGGCACCUGGGCCUGGCUCCGGGGUGGAGGUCCUAGGUGCGGGUGUUGCAGGAGUCUGGAAUUGCCCACAUUGGGAAGAGGCCACAUUCCCUUCAGCUCCAGGCCUCAGGCCCAUUUGUGCCUGUCUGGUGGGGCUUUCAGGGCAACAGAUGCUCCCAGCUUGGCAGGCAGGAGCCGGGGAGGGGUAUGGCAGGAAUUUCAGCUCAGAAGCUGGGCUAGAACAGGGCUUGGGGUGAGCUGGGCCCCUGUACGCUUGUAUGUGAAACAAGGGUCAAAGGGCCUGGGUGCCGUGGUGCUCCUGGGUUCCCAGCUGAGCACUGAGCCCACCAGGGACAAGCUGCCCUGAUGACUGUGCAGCUGUUACUGAGGGAGCUACUGCUUCCUGGACUGCAGAUGACCCAUUACCUUCAGAAGUGUGUGAUAUUUGUGUGCCCAGCGUAGUUGCAGACAUUACUCAAUGUGUGGCUGCCUAGGGACAGGGUUAGAGUUAGGACUAUGCUUGGAACAGCACUGACAUAGUGGUUACGGAUUGGAGGUAGGUAGUGGUAAGCAUAGGGCUGGAAUCACGGUGAUGUUAAAGUAGGAUUUGGAAUUGCGUUUAUGGUUCCUGUUGAUAAGAGCUAGUGCAUCUUGUAGAUAUCACCUAUAGUAGCUGGAGAAUCUGUGUAUCUACAUGGUGAGAAUUGAAAGGGUCUAUAAAAGUCUGCUUUCUUCUCCAGCGCUCUGAAGUGUGGGUGGAGUAGGGGUGUCCUAUCUGAGUUGAUCUGGCACCAUUUCCCUGUUAAAAAAGAAAUGACAGGCCCAAAAUGGAGUCACUUAUGGUAAAAGGAAGACUUAAUACCUGACCUUAUUGAAGUUACAGCCUUCUCCAAGAAUGUAAUCCAAACUGAUCAGUGUGGAAAUUUCUGGUCCGCACCAGUGAGGUAAUCCUUUCCAUCCCCCAAAGGAAGAUGAGGUAACCUGGCACAUAGAUCCCUUCAUCCCCUAUAGAUAGAUUACCUAACCCUGAAAUAAUCUUUUUUUGUUUUUGACUUCCUUGUCAUACUCUUAAAAACCUUUCUUUUUCUAUAGCCUUUUAGAGCUCCCCUCUACUUGCUAAACGGGAUGCUGCCCAAUUCAUGAACUGUUCAGUAAAGCUAACUCGAUGUUUAAAAAAAAAAGAGCUAGUGCAUCUUAGAUUAGGAUUGUGUUAGGGUUGGAGUAGGAUACUGUUUGAGUUUAAAAUUGGGAUCAAAAUGGGUCAAGGAGAUAAAUUUUGUGUUGGGGGUCAGUUUUAAGCUUCUGAGAUAGUCUGGAGAGGGACUUAACCUUAUGCGUAUUGUGUGAUAUUGAUCUGGUUUAGAUGAGAGCUUUUGGACAUUUUCUGGCCUUCUGCACUUGAGAGUUAUAAAUGGCCAUAUGAUCCCUGAAGCUGCGAUCGACUAGAGGGAAGUAGGCAUCUAGCUCCUGGGGAGAGGGAAUAUCGCAGUUUUCUAUCCUGAACUUACCUGGCCAUGUAAACAUCUUUUGGGUAAUACCCAGCAGCAUUACCUUUAUGAGGUACAGAUAUUCUGAGGGUCUCACUUAAAGGACUGGUUUUAGAGUUGUUUGUGAAUGGGGCUGGAGUUGAGGUUAGGGUUAGGGUUGAAAGGCAUGGACUGCAGUUGAAGUUUGGGGUAGAGCGACACAUGUGGUCAUGCCCUGUAUCAAGGGCUCCUUCCUGACGAGUCAGGAGCUGGUUCUUCACAGUUUCCUGAGGGGGAUUUUGACAGAGUAGGUCUGUCUGGCUUACUCUUCCUUUAGAUUCUGUUUCUGCUGCAUCGGAGAGACUGAGGGUCAGGAGCCUGCGGUAAACUGGGGACACUCCCCGGGGUAGGGAUGGGAGUGUAGGUGAAGGACGGGGCUGCUGAAGAGGGCAGGGGACUGACUUGCUGACCGUGGUGUUCCUUUAAAAGCACACAGCCAAGCUGUUGAGACCAGGGGUGUGUGCGUGGAUCCAAGACUGUCCUUAUUAAAGGACAGGCAAUGGGACAUAAAUUACUAACCAGAGUUUAGAGGUGAAUAAACAGACCUGGCCUGAGGUGGCCUAGAAGUUUUAUCGGGGAGAAAGGCUGGAAGGAUGGAUUGGGAAUGCAUUUGUGUUUGUGGGCCUGCAAGAUGGGCUGUGUCUGUCUGCAUGUGUGUGGUGCCAGAGUCGGCUGGAGCAUGUCUGACUCAGGGUAUUCAUGAGUCUAUGUAGGUGUGUUUCCUGAACAUGUCUCUGGGUACUCUGAGUUAGCUUCUGAGUGGCAUUGUUGACUUUAUGUCCUCCUGUGUAUGUGUCUGUGUGGCUAGGUGUCUGUACACAUGUGUCUUUGACUGUGUGUGAGACUCUGCUCUGGCCUCUCACUUUCCCCUGACCCUCUCCCCUGAUGCGCCCCAGCUGCCAAGAGUAUUUACUGCAAGAGAUUGGCUUCCUUUCCCUUCCCACUGUCUGGAUUCCCAUGUGUCCGGCUGCCUGCCCAGGGCCCUGCCCCUGAGGCCUCUGUGUGGGGCUUGACCUUGGGAGUGAUACACUCUGGAAAGCCCCCGAUAUGCUCUUUGCCCGGCUGUGGACCCAGAGAAGUUACAGUGGAGGAGGGGGACAAGGCGGGAAAGGGGGGCAGUUGGCAGCAUGCACCCCUCCUUCUGGAAACAGAGAUCUCCUUCAGGCCCCCUCUUUCCUCCCCACGCUCUCAUCCAGAUCAAGUAUUCAGGGUCCUGGCCUCACUGUCUGUGCGCAUGGGAAUGGACAGUCCUCCACAAGCCCCGUUAGGCAUCUGGUCCUCUGCGUCCCCCAGCACCUUACAGGCCUGCCUUGUGCUCAUUCCUCACAUCCCCACCCACCCUCACGGCUGUCCUCCCUUAUUUCCUGUCCCUGCCGUAGACACAGGAACCACUCUUGUCCUUCAUUCUGUGACAGCCCAGGCCUGUGCCGUGGAGCAGGUGGAGCAGCAGGCUUUGGAUGAAUGGUGAGGAGCAGAGGCUCAGCCCCUCUCACAGGUGCAGGAAGCAGCAGCGCCUUGGGGUUUACUCCUGUGCGCAUCCUGUGGUUGUUGCCUUCCCUGCGUGGGCUGCAGUGAGGAGGUACAGUAACAAAGCAGCCACGGUCCCUAUUUGCUGGGACUUGGUGUUUAACAAGAGAAGUGAUUUUGUGGAGAAGCCAUUCUCCCGCACUGCAGGCACUCAGUUGCCUGAAAUGCUCUCUGUAGAAUUCUGAAAUGUCUCUGCAGAGCCCAGGAGAAGGGCUCCAGAAGGUCAGAGCCAUUCGCCACGACAGUAUGGUAUCUCAGAGGGCCGAGGCGAACUCUAAAGUUCCCAAGCAAGCAUUGCUCUAUCCCUAGCAUCUACCAGCAAUUCUGGAGCAGUGAAUACCUGAUUUUGUGCCCUGCUGUGAGAGUUUUCAUUCUGAUUUUACUUCUUGAGCCGAGGGGGAGCUGGAAGGUGGGGCUUGUGCUAGGGUUAUAGGAUGGGAUGAGCAAGGCUUCAUCCUUCUACAACAUCCUGCAUGAACAUAGGCUCUGACCCUGUCUUCUCUCAGCUCUUGAUUUUGCUGAGAACUGAGAAUCCUGAAGGUCUUGGUUCCAGCUCAUCUCUGUGCCCCUAGCCCUUUGUUGCAAAACUUGGUCAGCAGGAUAAGCCAAUGCCGGCACGUGGCAGGUGGGAUACAUGGGAAGGACCCGCUCCACCUAAGGCAGGAUGUGUGUACAUUAACCUCAGCUUCCCACGUGAUGCUGCUGUGACCCUUCUGAGUCAAUUCCCUUCAUUCCGGGCCUCCCUCUCCUCUCCUUGCUCUGUGGCUCUCUGCCCAGCUCUCACCAGGCAUGGAGGAUGUGCCUGCCACAGGACCCCCUAUGAUCUUUGGGGAUGCUUUAGGAAAACACUGGAGGGUGUGGCUCAGCAGGCCUGGGCCUUGUGCCUCCUCACCUUGGGGGGCCACAGCAGGGCCUGAACUCCCAUCUGUUAGGUACAGAAUCACCCUUCAGAGGAGGGACACAGUCAUGCUUCUUCGCAUCCUGGCUUUUCUGCAUCCUGCUAGCAGGACACAUUGUGCUAAGUGCUGGGUCCUAUCAGAGGAAGAGUCCUGCCCCACCUCCUGAUUUGAUGGUAUGUUGAGCCAUCCUGGAUUUCCUUAGGAAUCAGUGAGGCAGGGGCAUCCCACAGUCCCCCAUACCACACCACGAGGAAGCUACAGCACUUCCUGCCCUUCCUGCAGCUUUUGGCUCCUCUGUGGUAGGUCAGAAGGUGGAAAUGCAGACGUGCCACCUUCUGAGAGAAAUGAAGUGUCCAAAACAGAGGUCCCUUCCAUCCACUCAGGGCAGCCUCUUUGUCUUUCUGCUUCCCAGUUCUCUCCUCCUACCCUCAGACAUCCGCAGUCUCUGGAUGGACACUAGGAUGCCACACCUGCCCUUUUUCUCUGUCUCAAGCCCCAUCCUCUUCAUGCUCUGUGCAUCUAGAGCUUUUUCUGACAUCUCUCCCCCUAUAUUCCAAGACCACCCUCUUCACACAUGUGAUCACCAACUUCAACUAUUUUUUUUUUGCCCACCUGGGCUCACAUGCUGCUACUGACUUCUUAGGCCCUAAAAAACCUCUUGCCAUGGUAACUUCCAGCAUUUCUCUUCAUCUCUGGCUUUGGCUUUCUGUAUCAGCCCUCCCCCCAGCCACGAUCCUUCCCAGUUCCUCAUUCACCCCUUUAGGUAUUUGCCCUGUUCUCUUUUUUUUUUGCACUACA